UACGUAGGCAGCGAGCGUUGUUCGGAGUUACUGGGCGUAAAGAGUGCGUAGGCGGUUUUCUAAGUUUGGUGUGAAAUCUCCCGGCUUAACUGGGAGGGUGCGCCGAAGACUGGAAGGCUUGAGUAUGGGAGAGGUAAGCGGAAUUCCUGGUGUAGCGGUGAAAUGCGUAGAUAUCAGGAGGAACACCAGCGGUGUAGACGGCUUUCUGGACCAUUGCUGACGCUGAGACACGAAAGCGUGGGUAGCAAACAGG
rnacentral:rRNA from 1 species